rnacentral:lncRNA from 1 species
UUUAUUCUGUUCCCUACCAAGAAGAAUCAAUAACUUUCAAGCGCAAACACAAAAAAAAAAAACACACUAGACAAUAGAUAUAUGAUAUAGUUUCUGUUUUGAAAUGUGUACUGUACUGCAGUACAUGAGUCAUUUACGAAACGCCAAAAAGAAAUAUUUUAUAACUAAUCUCGAGUGUUGUGGGACUCUCGACUUCUCUCACAUUCUAGAAUUCCACUUGGGCAUAUUGGAAUAUAUAUAGUCAUCUAUAACCAGAGCCGUGCGAGCAAUAAUAGCAUACAUAAACGAUGAAAAGAUAUAUGCCUUCAUUCGUAAAAAAAAAAAAAUAUUUUUAAAAGUUAGUCACUACAAUUCUUUAAUUAAAGUGAUUUGUGUUAUAAGAUAAAAUUUGAAACGAUCCUCCACCCCUUUACCAACUCAAGCACUAUGAUCAUCUACUCAUCAAGCACUAUG